GACGAACCGUGCGAACGUUAUUCGGAAUCACUGGGCUUAAAGGGCGCGUAGGCGGGCUCGCAAGUCAGGGGUGAAAGGCCUCCAGCUCAACUGGAGAAGUGCCUUUGAUACUGCGAGUCUAGAGGGAGGUAGGGGCGUGCGGAACUUCCGGUGGAGCGGUGAAAUGCGUAGAUAGUCGGAAGGAACACCGGUGGCGAAAGCGGCGCGCUGGACCUCUUCUGACGCUGAGGCGCGAAAGCCAGGGGAGCAAAGCGGG
rnacentral:rRNA from 1 species